rnacentral:lncRNA from 1 species
UUCCAGGCAGUCUGUGAGAUGUUUGAUGUCCGAGGCAAACAGCACAUUCAGAUCCCCAAGCUCUACACCUCCAGUGUGACCAGGCACCUGCACCACUUCAGGCUCAUGCAGGACUCACAGCCUUUGGACCUCAGCUAAAGCCCUCAGCAGCAAGCACACCAAGAAUGUGUUCACCAUGAAGCUCAAAUCUCAGCAGAAUCUAGAGUCUGAAAUCCA